UACGUAGGGGGGCAAGCGUUGUCCGGAAUCAUUGGGCGUAAAGAGCGUGUAGGCGGCCCGGUAAGUCCGCUGUGAAAGUCCAGGGCUCAACCCUGGGAUGCCGGUGGAUACUGUCGGGCUCGAGUCCGGAAGAGGAGUGUGGAAUUCCUGGUGUAGCGGUGAAAUGCGCAGAUAUCAGGAGGAACACCAAUGGCGAAGGCAGCACUCUGGGACGGUACUGACGCUGAGACGCGAAAGCGUGGGGAGCGAACAGG
rnacentral:rRNA from 1 species